CUCGUCUAGAGAACGUAUCAAUCCAGGAAAAUGUUCAAACUAAUCAUUGCGUGCGCUGUUCUAUCCUACGUGGCUGCUCAAGUAAGCCAUACCCAGCAUCCCCAUACUCAGCAUCCCCAUACCCAGCACCCCCAUACCCAGCACCCGCAUUCUACCCAUGCUCCUAUUAUCCACGAUAACUUCCACUUUUUCCACGAUGCUGCGGAUAACAAAAUGAUCAUCAGAACGCAGACAGAAUGCUACGUAUUCGACCUCAACGCUGAUCAACAAAAGGCCAUCACCACACCAAUAGGCCAAAGAGCUACUGAGCUUGCUUUGGUUGCCAUGAUUGGCACUGGUAAACAGACACCAAUGAAAGAUGCUGACAUUACUCACCGAAUCUCCAGGGACUGCGGG